rnacentral:lncRNA from 10 species
AUUGCUGCAUCCUGGCUUCAUUUUUCUCCAUUCCCUCAGUUUGAUUUUUCUGCAGCUACAGACAUUGUAACUGAGCAAGUUUGGGUGUCACAUGCUUAAGAUUACAGUGACACAAAGAUUGAAUAAUGAUGGAUCUCUGAGAUGUUGCUUGACAGACAGCCUCCAUGAAGAGUCAAGCAAACUGUUUCGAACUAUGACAUAAGCAAAAAAAACCAAAAAAAUAUGUUGAGAUGCAAUACUUGUUCUCAAUAAGACCUCAACAUAAAAGCCAAAACAUGGCCACCUGCAGAGGCAAGAUGUACCUCUGACUUCAUAUCUGGUUUAGAUGCCACACAUGUAUCAAGAGGAUAUGAGAAGGUUUAUCACUCACAUAAUGAGACUUUUUAGGAACCCAGGACAACUAACAAGCAGCCUAGCACCCCAGAUCGGUGAGGGAGAUGGAAGUUCCAUUGAAUGCCUGCUCAAGAGUCAAGUGCUGUGUGUUGUGAGAAUUGAUAUGAAUGCCUCGUUCACUAUCCCUGAUAUCCGGAGCUCUAAAAAGGAUAAGGGAUUCUAAAUGCAAAUGAAGGAGUCACUCAUCAAAGGCUUCUAUGGCUAAACUUCAUGACUAUAUACUAAACAGGAAUCUAACCAAGAAACUCACAGCUGCUCUUGAGAAGAUGCCCUGCUAAACCACUAAGACAAAAAUCACUUUUUAUGACCUCACCCAGUAUUUGAUAGAAAGAGAUUAGCAGCUUGCCUGUAAUCUACUCUCUUCAUUUACUGGGAGAUUCUCUGCAAAGAGAAGUGACCCAAUCAAAUUUCCUUGCCAAAUACAUUGUUGGUAUGUUGUGGUGGACGUAUCUGCAUAUAGAAUGCUUUAGCAAGAUAACCCUGGUCUCUUGAGAAUUGCUUAUGGUGAAGAAACCCGAAAUCCAUCGAUUCAUGGAGUAUGACUUUAUAAGAAAUAUCAUGUAACCUGUAACUGUUACAGUAUACAACGAAGUUUUGUGAAUAAACAGCUUACUUAUGUGCAAGUAAUGGCUGCAUACAUUUCUUACAGUCAUUGAUUGUUAAAUCUUGACCAGAAUCUGUCCUAAUGUGAGAAGAAAGGACCUAGAAAGCUUCUGGGUAAAUGAUUACAUAUAUAUACAUAAUCUUAUUCAAUUUCAUGUGCACUUGAGUUUAUUGGUAAAGUUUAAUAUAAAAUAAAUUUUCUAAUUUGUGUGAGUCUCAUUUGACAAUCCAACCAUGUGUCUUUGUUCAGGGUGUUCCCAAACAAAUUGUCUUUCAGAACUUUGAAGUACAAUGUCUAAUAAAGAAGAGGGAAUUAAAAAUAUGAUGAGAAUUUGAUGUCCUUUGUGUUAUCUCAGUUAUAUCCCUGUGACUUUGUACAAUUUAUAUAGCUGCUCACACACUAAACUCUCUGUUUCAUUAUUGGCCUCUUGGAAUAAAUUUUAC